rnacentral:pre_miRNA from 14 species
UCCAUAGACCAGGGUGAUCACUGAUCCCAGACCAGGCUCAAAAUGUAAGACCGCCAAAGGCGGGAGACCCUCCUUCAAGUCUGCAGAUGAUGCUACCCCCAAAAAACUCACAAGACA